AAAUUGAAGAGUUUGAUCAUGGCUCAGAUUGAACGCUGGCGGCAGGCCUAACACAUGCAAGUCGAACGGUAACAGGAAGCAGCUUGCUGCUUCGCUGACGAGUGGCGGACGGGUGAGUAAUGUCUGGGAAACUGCCUGAUGGAGGGGGAUAACUACUGGAAACGGUGGCUAAUACCGCAUAACGUCGCAAGACCAAAGAGGGGGACCUUCGGGCCUCUUGCCAUCAGAUGUGCCCAGAUGGGAUUAGCUUGUUGGUGAGGUAACGGCUCACCAAGGCGACGAUCCCUAGCUGGUCUGAGAGGAUGACCAGCCACACUGGAACUGAGACACGGCCCAGACUCCUACGGGAGGCAGCAGUGGGGAAUAUUGCACAAUGGGCGCAAGCCUGAUGCAGCCAUGCCGCGUGUAUGAAGAAGGCCUUCGGGUUGUAAAGUACUUUCAGCGGGGAGGAAGGUGUUGUGGUUAAUAACCGCAGCAAUUGACGUUACCCGCAGAAGAAG
rnacentral:rRNA from 1 species